rnacentral:rRNA from 1 species
GAUGAACGCUAGCGGCAGGCUUAACACAUGCAAGUCGAGGGGCAGCGGGGUGUAGCAAUACAUCGCCGGCGACCGGCGCACGGGUGCGUAACACGUAUGGAACUUGCCCUGCACUGGGGGAUAGCCCGGAGAAAUCCGGAUUAAUACCCCAUAACAUACGAGGAGGCAUCUCCUUGUUUUGAAAGAAUUUCGGUGCAGGAUAGGCAUGCGUCCGAUUAGCUAGUUGGUGAGGUAAUGGCUCACCAAGGCGACGAUCGGUAGGGGGCCUGAGAGGGUUAUCCCCCACACUGGUACUGAGACACGGACCAGACUCCUACGGGAGGCAGCAGUGAGGAAUAUUGCGCAAUGGAGGCAACUCUGACGCAGCCAUGCCGCGUGCAGGAAGACGGCCCUACGGGUUGUAAACUGCUUUUAUUCGGGAAGAAACCCCUCGACGUGUCGAGGGUUGACGGUACCGAAGGAAUAAGCACCGGCUAACUCCGUG